GCAAGUCGAACGGUAACAGCAGAGCUUGCUCUGGCUGACGAGUGGCGGACGGGUGCGUAACGCGUGGGAAUCUACCUUAUAGUGGGGGAUAGCCCGGUGAGAACCGGAUUAAUACCGCAUACUACUCCACGGAGGAAAAGGGGCCUCUCCUUGGAAGCUCUUGCUAUUAGAUGAGCCCGCGUAAGAUUAGCUAGAUGGUGGGGUAAUGGCCUACCAUGGCAACGAUCUUUAGCUGGUUUGAGAGGAUGAUC
rnacentral:rRNA from 1 species